CCUACGGGAGGCAGCAGUGGGGAAUAUUGGGCAAUGGGCGCAAGCCUGACCCAGCAACGCCGCGUGAAGGAAGAAGGCUUUCGGGUUGUAAACUUCUUUUCUCAGGGACGAAGAAAGUGACGGUACCUGAGGAAUAAGCCACGGCUAACUACGUGCCAGCAGCCGCGAUAAUACGUAGGUGGCAAGCGUUAUCCGGAUUUAGUGGGUGUAAAGGGCGUGUAGGCGGGAGCGCAAGUCAGAUGUGAAAACUCAGGGCUCAACCCUGAGCCUGCAUUUGAAACUGUGUUUCUUGAGUGCUGGGGAGGCAAUCGGAAUUCCGGGUGUAGCGGUGAAAUGCGUAGAUAUACGGAGGAACACCAGUGGCGAAGGCGGAUUGCUGGACAGUAACUGACGCUGAGGCGCGAAAGCGUGGGGAGCAAACAGGAUUAGAUACCCCGGUAGUC
rnacentral:rRNA from 1 species